CAGCUGGGGACCAAGUGUUGAGGCACAUGAGUCUCUGUGGCACCUAAGUCUCUCUAAGAGACUCAGUCUAAUACAUUAUAAAUCCAUCGCAUUACAGAGGCUUCUGUCCUCAGAUUUCCCUUACAAUGGGGCUGAGUAGGAGUGAACGGUGUCUAGACAGUGAUGAGCUCCAACUUGAACCUCUGAUGCGUUGCCUGAGCCACAUUUUCAUAUGUAAAGUUGGAUAACAAGAUGCUGCUCUAAAGAUCUGGGGAGCUGAUACCGAUGGGAAGCAUCACAAAUACCUGGGAACCCUCAUGUCAUUCCUAUCCCCUCUUCCCUCUGGCAAUGUUGGUUUUCAAAUCACAUCCUCUUACCUCCCACACCCACAAGGGCAAGACUUGACUGUGAUAGCAGGCUUCACUGCAGAAGCAGUUUCUCCUCUCGUGCCAACUUAAAAGAGGAUGCAAGGAAUUGCUAACGAGUUGGAGGUGCUGCACAAUACAUGGUACCCAGCUUCCCUCUCAUCAGCCAGGAAGGCGGAAACUCCCAGCAUACUUGCUGUACAGUGCCACACCAGUGUACUAGGGACCUCUCAGCUUCCUGUCCAGCUUUCUGCCAAUGUCUCCUUUUUACCCAGCCUUGUUGAACUAUGGGGAGAAAUUCAACAACCCAAUCUCAGGAAAAAAUUGUGA
rnacentral:lncRNA from 1 species